AGCGAACGCUGGCGGCAGGCCUAACACAUGCAAGUCGAACGGAUCCUUCGGGAUCAGUGGCGGACGGGUGAGUAACACGUGGGAACGUGCCCUUUGGUUCGGAACAACUCAGGGAAACUUGAGCUAAUACCGGAUGUGCCCUUCGGGGGAAAGAUUUAUCGCCAUUGGAGCGGCCCGCGUCCGAUUAGCUAGUUGGUGGGGUAAAGGCCCACCAAGGCGACGAUCAGUAGCUGGUCUGAGAGGAUGAUCAGUCACAUUGGGACUGAGAUACGGCCCAAACUCCUACGGGAGGCAGCAGUGGGGAAUCUUGCGCAAUGGGCGAAAGCCUGACGCAGCCAUGCCGCGUGAAUGAUGAAGGUCUUAGGAUUGUAAAAUUCUUUCACCGGGGACGAUAAUGACGGUACCCGGAGAAGAAGCCCCGGCUAACUUCGUGCCAGCCGCCGCGGUAAGAC
rnacentral:rRNA from 1 species